GGUGCAGAUGAUGAUAAAACUAGACAGGGACAUCAGAACUCGUAGGAGCAUCAAAUAUGAUGAUUUGUCUAAAAUGGGAAUCUCUUUGAUGCAAU
rfam:Beta vulgaris subsp. vulgaris Bvchr2.sca014.con0080.1, whole genome shotgun sequence.